UGGAAAGUGAGGAGUUUAAAAAAAGAAAUUACCAGAAUAAAAUAAAUCAAUCUUUUAAUUCUGGAGAAUUGUCUGCGACAUAUGCAGGAGGCUCUAUCAAUGUGGAUAAGCAUAGACGUAGAUUGACCAAAGAAUUGGGAAAGGAGCCUAAUUUUAUAGAUACUUUCACCCGCACAUUUCAGAAAAAAGAUAAGACUUGGAGCGGGGACAGAGCUAAAGCAAUUAAG